AUUGAACGCUGGCGGCAGGCCUAACACAUGCAAGUCGAACGAGUGGCGCACGGGUGAGUAAUGUCUGGGACACUGCCUGAUGGAUGGGGUUAACUACUGGAAACGGUAGCUAAUACCGCAUACCAUCGGAUGUGCCCAGCUGGGAUUAGCUAGUAGGUGGGGUAAAGGCUCACAUAGGCGACGAUCCCUAGCUGGUCUGAGCGGAUGACCAGGCAGACGGGACAGGAGACACGGGCCAGACGGCUACGGGAGGCAGCGGUGGGGAAUAUUGGACAAUGGGCGCAAGCCUGAUGCAGCCAUGCCGCGUGUAUGAAGAAGGCCUUCGGGUUGUAAAGUACUUUCAGCGGGGAGGCGUUACCCGCAGAAGAAGCACCGGCUAACUCCGUGCCAGCAGCCGCGGUAAUAC
rnacentral:rRNA from 1 species